rnacentral:rRNA from 1 species
GACGAACGCUGGCGGCAGGCCUAACACAUGCAAGUCGAACGCUCGUAGCAAUACGAGAGUGGCAGACGGGUGAGUAACACGUGGGAACCUUCCCUAUGGUUCGGAAUAGCCCAGGGAAACUUGGGGUAAUACCGGAUAAGCCCUUCGGGGGAAGGAUUUAUCGCCAUUGGAUGGGCCCGCGUCGGAUUAGCUAGUUGGUGGGGUAACGGGCCUACCAAGGCGACGAUCCGUAGCUGGUCUGAGAGGAUGAUCAGCCACACUGGGACUGAGACACGGCCCAGACUCCUACGGGAGGGCAGCAGUGGGGAAUCUUGCGCAAUGGGCGAAAGCCUGACGCAGCGACGCCGCGUGAGGGAUGACGGCCUCGGUUGUAAC